rnacentral:rRNA from 1 species
AUUGAACGCUGGCGGCAGGCCUAACACAUGCAAGUCGAGCGAGCGGCGGACGGGUGAGUAAUGCCUAGGAAUCUGCCUGGUAGUAGGGGAUCACGCCCGGAAACGGGCGCUAAUACCGCAUACUAUCAGGUGAGCCUAGGUGGGCUUAGCUAGUAGGUGGGGUAACGGCUCACCUAGGCGACGAUCCCUAGCUGGUCUGAGAGGAUGACCAGCCACACUGGAACUGAGACACGGUCCAGACUCCUACGGGAGGCAGCAGUGGGGAAUAUUGCACAAUGGGCGCAAGCCUGAUGCAGCCAUGCCGCGUGUGUGAAGAAGGCCUUCGGGUUGUAAAGCACUUUCAGCGGGGAGGCGUUACCCGCAGAAGAAGCACCGGCUAACUCCGUGCCAGCCGCCGCGGUAAUAC